rnacentral:rRNA from 1 species
AUACGGAGGAUGCGAGCGUUAUCCGGAUUUAUUGGGUUUAAAGGGUGCGCAGGCGGGCGAUUAAGUCAGCGGUGAAAGGCUCGGGCUCAACCGGAGCAGUGCCGUUGAUACUGGUUGUCUUGAAUGCGGUCAAGGCCGGCGGAAUGUGGCGUGUAGCGGUGAAAUGCAUAGAUAUGCCACAGAACACCGAUAGCGAAGGCAGCUGGCCGGGCCUGCAUUGACGCUGAGGCACGAAAGCGUGGGGAUCGAACAGGAUUAGAUACCCUGGUAUUCCACGCCGUAAACGAUGAUGACUAACCGUCGGCGAUAGACAGCCGGUGGCCAAGCGAAAGCGAUAAGUCAUCCACCUGGGGAGUACGUCGGCAACGAUGAAACUCAAAUGAAUUGACGGGG